UACGUAGGGUGCGAGCGUUGUCCGGAUUUAUUGGGCGUAGAGGGCUCGUAGGCGGCGUGUCGCGUCGGGAGUGAAAGACCGGGGCUUAACCCCGGUUCUGCUUCCGGUACGGGCAUGCUGGAGUGUGGCAGGGGAGACUGGAAUUCCUGGUGUAGCGGUGGAAUGCGCAGAUAUCAGGAGGAACACCGGUGGCGAAGGCGGGUCUCUGGGCCAUUACUGACGCUGAGGAGCGAAAGCGUGGGGAGCGAACAGG
rnacentral:rRNA from 1 species